UAGCCGGCGACCGUACAGAAUUGAUAAUUUAAUUGGAAAAUAGAAAAAUAAUGAGAUGGAAUAAUCAGAAAACGUUGCUGACAACUUAACAAGAUGGAAAUUAAAGAGGUGUGAAAAGCAAAGUUUCCGACUUUCCGUGGCUUUAAUUCGUACAGGUUGAUAGCGAGAGCAACCAGCCUCAGCCUGAAAGAUUUCACACGUUGCCAACAGUUUCUUUCCCAUGCUACGCAAAGUCCGCACGUUCUACAAGCCGAAUUUCUUCUACGAAUCUCACUAAACGCAGCUCUCUGAACCUCAGCAUUGUCUGAAUAUCCCCUCUGCAAGCAGAAUCGUGGUUAGAAACUUUGAUGACAGAAUCAUUUAUAUAGAGCUGGCAAAGCCUGGGGCAAUGCCUUCGGAGGAUGCCCAAGAACCUCUGCUCUACCAAAGGUGUGGCAUUUGCAGGAGCACAAGAUGAGGUGCCAGAUUACUGGUACUAACCAAUUUGCUUUUGAUUAAAUCCAGAAUUUUGAGAGGUGACAAAAUAGGAAUGGAGUUACGGUGGAGCAAUACUAGUCAAGCAGUUUGUCUAAUAUGAUCAAUAUAACUGAUGGUAUCUUACACAGCUUUGCCAUCAGUACUAAUCAAGUGUGAUCAAACACUCUCAAUAGGCAUGCUCUAUGCAAACCGAAAAGCAAAUGCUUCGUUGCCUCAAAGCAGAGGAGCUGCGAAAUUAUGAAAUAAGUUGUAGUUUUGGAAGUUUACUCGAACUUGUUCUACAGGUAAACAUGUCACUUUAAAAGUGAAAAUAGUGGAGAAUUGCAGCCUUUGUGAUUUGAUCAAUCUGAGUGACAAUUAGUAGGACAUGUGAUAAUGCCGUGUCUGUGUACAAUUAAGGAUAAUGUGAUUGGGCUUGUCCAUCUCAACCGCAUUUGUACAUUAGUAGUAGAGACUAAAUUGGGAUAAUAAUUUUGUUUGCA